rnacentral:rRNA from 1 species
AACGAACGCUGGCGGCAUGCCUAACACAUGCAAGUCGAACGAGACCUUCGGGUCUAGUGGCGCACGGGUGCGUAACGCGUGGGAACCUGCCCUUAGGUUCGGAAUAACUCCCCGAAAGGGGUGCUAAUACCGGAUAAUGUCUUCGGACCAAAGAUUUAUCGCCUUUGGAUGGGCCCGCGUUGGAUUAGCUAGUUGGUAGGGUAAAAGCCUACCAAGGCGACGAUCCAUAGCUGGUCUGAGAGGAUGAUCAGCCACACUGGGACUGAGACACGGCCCAGACUACUACGGGAAGCAGGAGGGGGGAAUAUUGGAAAAUGGGCGAAAGCCUGAUCCAGCAAUGCCGGGUGAGUGAUGAAGGCCUUAGGGUUGUAAAGCUCUUUUACCCGGGAUGAUAAUGACAGUACCGGGAGAAUAAGCUCCGGCUAACUCCGUG